AUAAACUUCAUAAUGUAGAGGCCGGAGUCUGUUCUCACAAAGCUGCUGCUUGAGUUCAGAAUAUUGUUCCGUCCAACGAGAACUCGUCGCACAAGCGCAGCAGGGAUUUGAAGAUCUUUUGAUGAUCGUACAGGAAAACGGCACGGAGGCUGAACUACUCCUCAUUGCAGAUAGCGACGGUGACCUGUGCGUCCUUGCCCUGAAAUUAAUUUCACGGAGAUAAAAUGAGUAGUCUUCGUCACUUAUCAUAGAGGAACAAGAGCUGCCUCUCUGCCCCAUAAUCAAGCUCAUCGAUAUAAACAUCAUCCAAAGGGCAAUUUUAAAGCUCGAAGAGACAAAGGCUCGGGAGAAGUGCAUUGAUUUUGUAAAU